rnacentral:rRNA from 1 species
ACCCGCACAAGCGGUGGAUGAUGUGGUUUAAUUCGAUGCACGACGAAAAACCUUACCCACCUUUGACAUGUACGGAACCCUUUAGAGAUAGAGGGGUGCUCGAAAGAGAGCCGUAACACAGGUGCUGCAUGGCUGUCGUCAGCUCGUGUCGUGAGAUGUUGGGUUAAGUCCCGCAACGAGCGCAACCCUUGUCAUUAGUUGCUACAUUCAGUUGGGCACUCUAAUGAGACUGCCGGUGACAAGCCGGAGGAAGGUGGGGAUGACGUCAAGUCCUCAUGGCCCUUAUAGGUGGGGCUACACACGUCAUACAAUGGCUGGUACAAAGGGUUGCCAACCCGCGAGGGGGAGCCAAUCCCAUAAAGCCAGUCGUAGUCCGGAUCGUAGUCUGCAACUCGACUACGUGAGGUCGGAAUCGCUAGUAAUCGUGGAUCAGAAUGUCACGGUGAAUACGUUCCCGGGUCUU